UCUAAACCCUCUCAAACAAACUCUCAAAUCCCUCUUACAAAAUAAACUCUCUCAAAAAAGCACAAAAAGAACUCUGCAGCCGCAAAGCAUCCAAGACCAAAAGCUUCUUGCACCUGUAGCCGUCAACAAAAACUCCGUGUCCACUUGCUUGCAUGCACUCAGCCGCAACUCCCAAAAUUUCCGAAGUUGUUCUUUUGCCCAAGCCUUGCACUUUUCUUCUGCAGCCGCCGCCAAAAGAAAAAAACAAACAAAUCAACCUCCAGCACCAAACCCUAGGCAAUGUGUGCGGUGUGCUUUUAUAACCACGAAUGACUUCGGGUGAGCCCCAAUACCCGCAUUCACACUAAUGCCCGCUGGACUCAAGCUUGGGUAUUGGGCCUUCAUGCACGUGGGUGGACCCCACACCACGUUCACAGGACUGACUUCAUUUACAUUCAAUCCAGCGUGAUCGAAAGCGUCGGCGACGGCGUCGACGACCUCAGCGUAGGAGAGGUAGUCAUUCCGAGCUGCCUAGGCGAAUGCGGCGGCUGCAGAAACUGCAACUCAGGCAAAACCAACUUCUGCCUCGACUAUCCGGUCACCUUAGACGGCCUGAUGCCGGACUCGACUUCAAGAAUGUCAGUAAGAGGGGAGAAGCUCUACCAUCUCUUCAGCUGCUCAACCUUCACCGAGUUCGCCGUCGUCGACGUAAAUUACGUCGUCAGGGUCGGCCCGAGGCUCCAGCCUGAGCACGCCAGUUUUCUGUCCUGUGGGUUUACUACAGUUGCAAAUAUCCCAUGAUCCCAUAACCCCAUCAACCUCUACGGCAGGCGUCACCUCAACCAAACAGGGCAACCUCUCGACCACCAGCAGCACCGAUUCCGGACAGUCAACGGACAGCACAGCCACAAGCCCCCAUGGUCAAAUUCUCGAGGCCCCCAUUCCCAAGAUCUUCACCUUCGCUGAGCUAAGAAGCGCAACGAAGAAUUUCAAGCCUGAAGCUGUUCUUGGCGAGGGAGGAUUCGGGAGAGUUUACAAAGGAUGGGUCGACGAAAGGACUCUGAGUCCAACCAAGUGUGGGCAUGGCAUGGUGGUUGCUGAGAAAAAACUCAAGCCUGAGAGUGUUCAGGGGUUCGAGCAGUGGCAGGCGGAGGUGGAUUUUCUGGGGACGGUUUCACACCCGAAUCUGGUGAAGCUCUUGGGUUAUUGUUGCGAGGCAAGAGGGAGCUUAGAGAAUCGUCUCUUUAGAAUUGGCUCCCUUUCCUUAAUACGAGCGCCUGUUGUGAUGCGUGUGCAAAUUUGAAGGGAGCAUUAUAUUCUUAGUUGCUGUGGUUUUUCUCCUCUUAUCCAUGCUGGUUACAUUAAUCGUCGCAAAAGAAGUCCCUCUGCAUGUCUAGUAUCCCUGGCAAAGGUGAAGAAGAGCACAGAGCAGAGUUCCUCGAUAUCUUCAGAAGUAUCAAAAACUUGCCUCCUGGAAUGCCUUCAGUACUUCUCAUCACCGGUCUUACUUGGGUCAGAGAGCGCUCGAUCUCAACCGUCCAAGCGGACAACAUAAUGUAGUACACUGGGCCAAGCCUUAUUUAGUGGGCCGUUGACAGCUCACUCAGAUCGUCGACCCCCUCAGCUCCACGGCCAGUGCAAACCUAUGGCUACUAGUCAAGCGGCUCAAUUGAUUCUCAAAUGUGUGGCCCAAAAUCCCAAAAGCCGGCCAUCGAUGAACGAUGUAGUUGAGAGUCUUGAGAAUAUUGAAGCCACUCAGAAAAUUGUAGCCCGACCCAAUAGAAUGCCAAGCAUUUGGCAACCACCAUGCCAUGCCCACACUUGGUUGGACUCAGAGUCCUUUCAUCGACCCAUCCUUUGUAAACUCUCCCGAAUCCUCCCUCGCCAAGAACAGUUUCAGGCUUGAAAUUCUUCGUUGCGCUUCUUAGCUCAGCGAAGGUGAAGAUCUUGGGAAUGGGGGCCUCGAGAAUUUGACCAUGGGGGCUUGUGGCUGUGCUGUCCGUUGACUGGCCGGAAUCGGUGCUGCUGGUGGUCGAUAGGUUGCCCUGUUUGGUUGAGGUGACGCCUGCCGUAGAGGUUGAUGGAGUUAUGGAUUUCAUGGGAUAUUUACAAUUGUUGCCCAUGAUUCAGAAACUUGACUAAUUUUUUUUUAUUUUGUGUUUCUUCCUCUCUUUGCUCUGUCGUAGAGGUUUGCUCAUGACUUACAAAUAUAAGGAAUGUAAGGAC